CUCGUGCACAAAGCCUAGGGCAUGCAUGAAUUCAUGGGCGAUCACUCCAACCUGGAGGCAGUCAGGGCUCUGGAGAGACACGGUCUGUCUUCCACCACGCGCACCAAGGAAAAGACAAUGGAGUAACAUUUUGAAAACAAAGACUGCAGGGAUUAAACUUUACAAGCAAAUGCUCUCACCCAGACUUUGGCUGGAUGUCGACGUAGUCUCGCUGGUGAGUCCGAGGAACAAACCGCACACAGAAAACUAAAAUGACGUACAGUAUUCAGGUGAGAGUCUAUAUGCAACAUAGACAUGUCCAUCCACUGACUUAGACCAGAGG